UUCUUGGUUGGAGGCUCUAACGACAUACCAGCGAUCAAGACGAAAGUGCUACUGGGGGUAGUGGAUGUAACAGCACAAUAUAGGUGGCGAAGCUAGUGCCUAUUCCAUGAACGACUGGCGGGU
rnacentral:sRNA from 12 species